GAUGAACGCUGGCGGCGUGCCUAAUACAUGCAAGUCGAGCGAACAGAUGAGGAGCUUGCUCCUCUGACGUUAGCGGCGGACGGGUGAGUAACACGUGGAUAACCUACCUAUAAGACUGGGAUAACUUCGGGAAACCGGAGCUAAUACCGGAUAAUAUAUUGAACCGCAUGGUUCAAUAGUGAAAGACGGUUUUGCUGUCACUUAUAGAUGGAUCCGCGCCGCAUUAGCCAGUUGGUAAGGUAACGGCUUACCAAGGCGACGAUGCGUAGCCGACCUGAGAGGGUGAUCGGCCACACUGGAACUGAGACACGGUCCAGACUCCUACGGGAGGCAGCAGUAGGGAAUCUUCCGCAAUGGGCGAAAGCCUGACGGAGCAACGCCGCGUGAGUGAUGAAGGUCUUCGGAUCGUAAAACUCUGUUAUUAGGGAAGAACAAAUGUGUAAGUAACUAUGCACGUCUUGACGGUACCUAAUCAGAAAGCCACGGCUAACUACGUG
rnacentral:rRNA from 1 species